rnacentral:rRNA from 1 species
GACGAACGCUGGCGGCGUGCUUAACACAUGCAAGUCGAACGGAAAGGCCCUGCUUUUGUGGGGUGCUCGAUUGGCGAACGGGUGAGUAACACGUGAGUAACCUGCCCUUGACUUUGGGAUAACUUCAGGAAACUGGGGCUAAUACCGGAUAGGAGCUCCUGCUGCAUGGUGGGGGUUGGAAAGUUUCGGCGGUUGGGGAUGGACUCGCGGCUUAUCAGCUUGUUGGUGGGGUAGUGGCUUACCAAGGCUUUGACGGGUAGCCGGCCUGAGAGGGUGGACGGCCACAAUGGGACUGAGGUACGGAGCAGACUCCUACGGGAGGCAGCAGUGGGGAAUAUUGCACAAUGGGCGGAAGCCUGAUGCAGCAACGCCGCGUGCGGGAUGACGGCCUUCGGGUUGUAAACCGCUUUCGCCUGUGACGAAGCGUGAGUGACGGUAAUGGGUAAGGAAGCACCGGCUAACUACGUG